GAUGAACGCUGGCGGCGUGCCUAAUACAUGCAAGUCGAGCGAACAGAUGAGAAGCUUGCUUCUCUGAUGUUAGCGGCGGACGGGUGAGUAACACGUGGGUAACCUACCUAUAAGACUGGGAUAACUCCGGGAAACCGGGGCUAAUACCGGAUAAUAUUUUGAACCGCAUGGUUCAAUAGUGAAAGGCGGUUUCGGCUGUCACUUAUAGAUGGACCCGCGCCGUAUUAGCUAGUUGGUAAGGUAACGGCUUACCAAGGCGACGAUACGUAGCCGACCUGAGAGGGUGAUCGGCCACACUGGAACUGAGACACGGUCCAGACUCCUACGGGAGGCAGCAGUAGGAAAUCUUCCGCAAUGGGCGAAAGCCUGACGGAGCAACGCCGCGUGAGUGAUGAAGGUCUUCGGAUCGUAAAACUCUGUUGUUAGGGAAGAACAAAUUUGUUAGUAACUGAACAAGUCUUGACGGUACCUAACCAGAAAGCCACGGCUAACUACGUGCCAGCAGCAGCCGCCG
rnacentral:rRNA from 1 species